rnacentral:hammerhead_ribozyme from 1 species
AUCCAGCUGACGAGUACCAAAUAGGACGAAGCGGAGCGCGUCCUGGAU